rnacentral:rRNA from 1 species
GAUGAACGCUGGCGGCGUGCUUAACACAUGCAAGUCGAGCGAUGAAGUUUCCUUCGGGAAACGGAUUAGCGGCGGACGGGUGAGUAACACGUGGGUAACCUGCCUCACAGAGUGGAAUAGCCUUCCGAAAGGAAGCUUAAUACCGCACAACGUUGAAAGAUUGCAUUAUCAUUCAAACAAAUGAGUAAGGUGCGAUGCGAUGGACCCGCGGCGCAUUAGCUAGUUGGUGGGGGAACGGCCUACCAAGGCGACGAUGCGUAGCCGACCUGAGAAGGUGAUCGGCCACAUUGGGACUGGGACACGGCCCAGACUCCUACGGGAGGCAGCAGUGGGGAAUAUUGCACAAUGGGGGGAACCCUGAUGCAGCAACGCCGCGUGAGUGAUGAAGGUUUUCGGAUCGUAAAGCUCUGUCUUUGGGAAAGAUAAUGACGGUACCCAAGGAGGGAGCCACGGCUAACUACGUGCCAGCAGCCGCCGUAACAC